rnacentral:lncRNA from 1 species
AGUGGGUGAUUAAUCCGAAUCGGGGUGAGGACAGGUGUUGUGAUGGACAAAGCGUAAGACAAGGUGGUUCUCGACAGAAGCAAGAAAGCUCUGACAAAAGACAGCUAGGUAUUCCUUUUGCAGACAAAUUAAGAAGACAAAAGAUAGAAAAUAUAGGGUGGUGGUCGAAGAUAAAUGAUUAUAACAGCACUGAUAUGAUCUGCUUCGCCUUCGUCCACCACCUCAUCUUUAUGUUUAUAUCUUGGUCGUGACUCACGUUGGCCUUCGUCUGCAAGUGCUGUCGGUCCUACUAUUGUGCUUGUGUUUCCUAGCUUUGAUUUCUAUGUAUUAGGGUCUGGGGUGAAGUUAGAAAAAUAUUUUUAAGAAUUGAAGUUAAAUUAUAUAUUUUUAUAAGAGUUAAAAUGUAAUUUCAUAAUUAUAUUAGUUUAUGUUUUUAUAGUUUUUAGAGGUCUUAAAUUAAAAUCUUAUCAUUUUUUUUUGGAUAAAUUGUGAUUUUACAAUGUUUAACUUAUAAUUUUAUAGAUUUUAGAAAGGCCCAAAUAACAAUUUUUCAUUUUAGUGGUCUAAAAAGUAAUUUUCAUUUUAAGGAGGCCACUCCCCUUGCUCCAGUCACCGCCUUUACGACGAGAUUAAUUAUAGUGAGAUUGAAAAUAGAUGUGAUAGUGAGAUUAACUAUUAUGGUGAUGAGAAUAAAAUCACUGGUGAGACGUGUCUUAGGAUUUAAACAUAUAGAUUGUAGAUUUAUAGUAAGAGAGCAAAAUGACCAUUAUGAACAUUAAACUAAAAUUAAACUAAAUUAGUUUGCACCCUUCCGUAUCUUUUUUAUAAUUAAUAUUUUAACGAUAAAAACAUUAUAUUUCAUAUUUCAUUUAUAUAAAUUAUGCAUGUCAAAUUUGACGUAAAUUAAAAAUUUCUAACUAUUUGUUUUAUGUAAAAAUACUUUUAACUGUUUAAUAAAUGUUAAUAUAUACAAUAUUUUAGAUCGAUAAGAUAGAAAUAUCAAAUCAAUUUGAAAAUUUGCAUGCAUGAAUCAUACAAUAAUUUUGAUAAAUUCAAUGGUUGGAUUGUUAAAUUAAUAAUCAUAUAAAAAUAUAUGGAAGGAUGUAAAAUUACUUUAGUUUCACACUAGUGUAAGCGGAUCUCUCCCAUUUUAAUAUAUAAAGUUAAUUAUAUAAUUUAAAAUUAUGUAAUUAAUAUUAUUUAUAAAUAUAAGUAUAAAUAUAUUUCUUUAUAUGCCUAACUAAUGUAAAGAAAAUCCACAAAGAAGCUAUUUGUUGAGGGGAGGUCGGACUCUCUUUUGGGAGAAGUCUUCUAAGUGUCAUCUAUUUGGGAGUUGAUGGACCCCUCAAUAAGAGGUAUUUUUCUCGUGUUGGGGUUUCUUCCCUGGCCUUCACAAAGAGCAGCUAUACGAUUCUCAAAAGGGGGCUCGAUUGGUGGAGAUAGGUACAAUGGCUCUUUGCGAAGGUUGAGGGAAAAACCUUGACACGAUGACAAUACAUUUUGUUGAGGAUUCUGUUGACUCUCAAGCGGGCAAUACUUCGAAGACUUCUCCUAAGAGAAAAUCUAACCUCCCCUCAACACUAUUCACAUACACUUAUCCCAAACCAACAACCAAAUAUCACUACAACCACAAUCAAUCAUACAAAAAUGCCAAAUAAUCCCAAAUAAAAGAAGGAAGAAAGUCUCCUAUGUUAGCAUCCUCAAAUAGGACUUAUAGAAUUAAAAAAAAAAGAAUGAAAAUAUAUAAUAAAAAAAAUGAGACAUAAACGUACUGGAUUCAGUUAGGAGUUAGUCGGAGAGUUUUGGGCGUGGAGGCUCAAACAAAAGGUCGAGGAGAAAGUCUUAUUAAGAAGAUGAACAUAUUGGACUCAAGUGACCAUCCGAUGAUGGCAAACAAAGAUCAAAUAGCUUCCUUGUUAGAUUUUUAAGUUUGAAUCAACGAAGUUUCAGGCCAUUUUAAGGAAAAUUAAAUCAUAAAGUUGAAAGAGGAAGGAUAGAGCUAUACUUUUAUGUGUUUCUUUGGUAAAGGAGGAGGUUGGACAAUGGUGAGAUUGCUGGAAUACAAUAGUGAAAGAGGUUCCUAAAACUCUAAAACUUUUGAAUAGUUUAGUGACCAACUUAUAACUCUUCUGAAAUUAAGUGACCAAAGUGUAAACUUAUUAAUAUUUAAGUGACCUUGGGUGUAGUUUACCCCAUGAUGAAUAGUGAGUUAACGAUCAUGUCAGACAAACAUUAGCAACCUAAUGGUUCAAUGACUUAAAUGAUAGAUUUUGAAUAGUUAAAUGACUAAUUUAUAACUUUUUAAAUUACUAAUAGCCGAGUAAACUUGAAUGUAAUUUACCCUCUCUUGUUUGACUUAAAAAAUCAAAUACAAGAUGGACUUUUCCAUAAUAGGCCGACACCAACAAUGUGGAAAUAGCACGGUCCAUACCUAUAAUUGUUGAUAUCGAAGGAAGAAGACUUCAAUGACUAAAUGACAUGAAUAUAAUGUAGAAAAAGUUAUGGAAGAAAGAGUCCACGAACCCCCUUCUUUUUUGCCUCUAGAUUUGUAAGUUUGUGAAGAAAAACUAGUGAUAGUCUUUUUGUCCCUAUAUCUAGUAAACUACCCAUAAAAAUUAUCUCUUGAGUAGAAAGGGAUGACUUGGGAAAAAUUAAACAAAAUUUAUAAUUUUUUGGGAUAAAUUUUAAAAUUAUAUAAACAUUUAUUUAACGUGUAAUUUAAUACGUAAAUUUUAAUUUUAUGUAAUUAUAUAUACGAUCCCUUGUAAAAUGAGAAUUCAGAUGAAUUUAUGAAUUUACGUAUCAAAUUCAUUUUGGGGCUGGAAGCGCCCUUGUAAAUUUUACUUUUGCUCUUAAAAAAUGAUAAAAUUUUAAUUAAUCUUUUAAAAAUUAAAAAAAAGAUAUAAUUUAUUAAAAUGAUAAGAUUUCAUUUUAACUCUCCUAAAGAAUAUGUAAUUCAAUUAUGACUUUUUUAAACAAUAAAUUUUUGACUUCAUCCUUAUUCGAACUUCAAAAAUUACUCGAGAAAAAAAGUUUUGCUGAAUAAGGCAACAAACCAAAGGGAAACGAGAUUCACGAGGGGAUGAAGACGAAAUACAAAACCAAAGGGAUAACCAAAGGAGAAAAGUUGUAUAAAAUAUAUGUGGUAGCGGGGAAGAGAUGCCAAGGGGUUAAUUUAUAUUUUGUUAUUCAAUAUAUAUAUUUAAUUCUUUCACUAUUUAUUGCUAUACAAAUAUUAGAUUUAUUUAAAAAUUAUGCUAUUUAUUUGUCGGAUUAAUCGUAUUUCUGGCCAGAGCAUUGAACCUAUUUGAAGUGGUUUAUAUUGUCCUAAAAAAUUCCAUGUACAAACAAUAAUUAAUUUUACUUCCCCACCUAACUACUCUUGGCUGGGGUAGGUUCUGGCAGAGAAGUUAUAGACACAUUUUCAUACUUUGGGUUUGGAAUACUUUACUUAAUUUCCUUUGCUGUAUUGAGUUUUGGCAAUAUUUAUCAUGCACUUUGAGACCUAAAACUCUUGAAUAAUCUUUUUCAUUUUUCGGUUAUGUAUAGAAAGAUAGAAAUAAAAUGACCAUAAUUUUGGAUAUUCACUUCAUUUUGCUUGAUACAGGUUCUGUUUUUCUAGUAUACAAUAUCUGAGCUUAGUUCAAAUUUAAAUAAAAUAAUUUAAUAUUUUGAAUUAAACCAAACUUAAACAAACCUAUUGAUACUAAAUAUAAAUCUAACAUAAACCUAGCGGCCCAUGAGUGCUUUACAUACUAAUAAAAUCAACUAAUAUUUUAUAAAUACUAUUAAAUAUAUAUUAUCAGGUAAUAUAAAUGUUGAUCAAAUAACAAAAAAAUUCAUGUAUAUUCUUUACAUAAAGUUAGAAUCUUUUGCGCACUGUCUUAAAUCUAUUGACAUCGGUAUUAUUGUUAGUGCAGGAGAAUAUGUGUUCGAGUACACUGAGACAUAUUAUCCUCUUAUUUAAAGGUUGAGAAGAAAUUAUAAAUAAUUCUAAUUACUAUUUCAAAUUUUAUUAUAAUGGAUGAAUGGUUGUCUUAGAUCACAAGCUAAAUUUUGGGUUUUAUUUAAUAUUGGGCUAUUUGGUUUAUAAGACUCUUCGACCUCUUUUUUUUUUUUUUUUAAGAAUACAAACAAAUUGAGCUUAUUUUUUUUAUUUAUUUUUAAGUAUAUUUAUAUAAUAUUAAAUAUAUAAAUAUGUUUUAUUAUUUUGUUAUUAAAUAUUACAAAAAUUUACAAAUAAAUCAACAAAUUACAAAAAAACCCUAAGUUUUACAGAUUUUACGGUUUGAUCCUUAUGUUCUGAAAUAUUAACUGUUUAAGUGAUGAAUGAAUAUUUGUUACACGUUUUAAGCUUUUAUUUAUUAAAAUUUGCUUUAUUUCUAUGGAUUUUUAAUUAAAUUUGAGGACAAUGCAUAAUAUUAAAUUUAGCUCUUAACAUUUACAUAUUUUAUCAAUUUGGCUUUUGUUAUUUUUUUAGACAAAUUUUGGCCUUCAACCUUUUAGAAAAGAGUUAAAAUGAUGUUUUUGUUAUUAAAUGAUGUUUUUUUAGAAAAAUCCUCAAUAAUCUCUAAUUUCUAGGGAUUAUUUACCAAAAAAACUCAACAAUCCCUCCCUUAAACUGAAAGUACAAUGAACUUUCAGUUUAAUAAAUACUUACUACUCAAUGUCAAAGACCAAGUAUUUUCCUGAACUUGACAAAUGAUGCCAACUUGAGAGGCUUAGUAAAUACAUCAACAACUUAAUUUUCACUUCUGUAAUACUUUAGCUUAAUUGCUCUUUCAUUGCUGAAAUAUGACAGAAAGUAAUAUUUUACAUCAAUAUUCUUGCUUCUUCCAUGCAACACAAGAUUUUUUGACAACUUGAUGGCUGAGUUGUUAUCACAAAAAAAUAUAGCGGCUCUUUUUGGCUUGAAUUGUAGUUGUUCAAGGAUUCUCCUAAGCCAAAUAGCUUGACAAGCACAAGCUGUAGUGUCAAAAAAUAUGACAAUGGAUUGUUUCUUAGAUGAUCACGAAAUAGCUCCUGUUUUAAGCAUAAAAACAUAACCUAAAAUGCUCAUUCUAUCAUCUUGAUCUCUUGCAUAAUCACUACCAGUGAAGCCAAUCAUGUUUGUCACCCUUUUUGUAGAAAAUCCAAAAUCUUUGGUUCUUUAUAAGUAACGAAGGAUUCUCUUAGCAGCUAAUAAAUGUUUUUCAAUCGGGCUCUUCAUGUACCUGCUAAUAAGACUCAUAGAAUACUAAUAGAGUUAGAUACAUCAAACUACCUACAAUUUUCUUGUAAACUAUGCUAUCCACAUUCUUUAAUAAGUUUUAAACCAAACUCAGUUGGAGUGUUGGAAGAGUUACAAUUCUUCAUCUUGAAUUUGUCCAAAAUCUCUCUCACAUAAUUUUUCUCUUCCUUCAAGUAUUCAUGUAAGAAUGUCGACUUGAUAUCUAACUGGAAGAUUGACCAAGAGUUCUGCGCUACUAAAGCAAUCACCAAUCUGAUAGUGUUAUGUCUUGCAACUAGGGUAAAAAAUUUUGUGUAGUCUACACCAUACUCUUGUUUGUACCCCUUAGCCGCUAAUUGCGUAUUGCACUUCUCAACCUCUUUGUUUUCCUUCAACUUCGUCUUGUAGAUCCACUUGACACCAAUGGUUUUGUGCCCCUCAAGAAGAUCAGUCAUCUCCUAAGUAUCAUUCCUUUUAAUGGCUUUGAUUUUAGCAUCCAUUGCCUCUUUCCAUUUUGCCUCAUUGGCAACAUUUUCAAAACUUGUUGGGCCACAAUCUGUAAAUAAUGCAAAUUGAGCAAUUGCAUCAUCAUUUUCUCUAAUUUUGGUUACGUCAUAAUCUUACAUCCAUGCUGGCCUUCUUCGAACAUGACGAAGUGCUUCAGCUAUUGUACUAGUUUCUUCUUUAUGUGUAAACAAUACUUUAGUGGCUAAUAGAGAAGUAUUCUUGAGCAUUUCUUCAGCUUUAUUAUCAUAAAGAACUGUAUAGGUUGUGCUUCAUCCCAAUCCCAAGUUUUCUCUUCAUGAAACAUAACUCUCGGCUAAUCAUGACCUUCUUUCUCACAGGAUUAAACAAUUUGUAUGCCUUCAAUUUGAUGUUUCACUAAUACCAAAAAAGACACAUCAACAAGCUUCUUCCAUUUCUCCUUUGAGACAUGUGCUUAGGUAAUGCGCCUAAAAAUUCUGAAGUGAUCUAUCACCGGUCUCCUUCCACUUUAAGCCUUCUCCGGAGUCACAUCUUGAAGAGAAUUAGUAGGGCUCCUAUUCAAGAUGUGGAUGUUCCAAUUUAUAGCUUUUGACCAAAACACCUUUGGAAUUCUCCCUCUUACUAGUAGGCUUCGAACCAUGUUGAGAAUGGUUUAAUUUUUCCUCUCUGAUACAUUAUUUUUUUGUUGUGUAUAAGUAGUUGUGAGCUCUCUUUGGAUGCUGUGAACAUCACAAGUCUUCAAACGCCUUAGAGGAAUAUUCACCACCAGGACUAGUUCGAAGAGGUUGAAUGGUUCUUCCUUUCUCAUUUCCUACACUAGCUUUAAAGCUUUUAAAUUUGAUUUUUCUUGUAAAGGUAAACCCAUGUCUUACAAGUAUAAUAAUCAAUAAAGGUAAUAAAUUUCCAUUAUAAAUUGGAUUUAUUGGCCCACAAAUGUCUGAAUGCACCAACUCCAAUACCUCUUUUACUUUCCAUAACUUACUUUUAGGAAAUUGAGAUCGAUGUGGUUUGCUAGCAACAAAUUCUUCACAAACUAGCAAAGGAAAGAUAAUUGGAGGAAGACCAGUCACCAUAUUUUUAUUUUUAAGUAUCUUCAAACCACCAAAGUUUAAAUGACCAUAGCAAAAAUACCACAACCAAGAAGGAUAUUUAACUUCUACUAUUGUUGACACCAAUUUUUUAGAUGAAAACGGGGUCAACUUGGGUUUUGACGAAAACGAAAAAAACGGGAGUCACCACCAAUCCUUUUUGAUAAGGUGUGAUUGGAUCACCUUGAAAAGUGGUUGUUUUUAAUAAACGAUUUAAUUUUAUGAAAACAACGAGUUUGGUCCGCAAAAUUCAGAAGAAAAAAAUUCGGGUUCGGGAGUCGGUUACGUACGAGGAAGGAUUAGCACCCUCAUAACGCCCAAAAUUGGUACCUAGUUGAUUAGCUAAUGUCUUAAUGUCGAAAAUUGAAAACUUUGAAGAAUUUUAAAAAACGAUCCUUGUAUGUUGAGAUUUUUUGGGAAAAAAGGGCAUAUUUCACGUUGAUCGAGAAAAAGAAUCAUAUCUAGUGAGUUAGGACACAAUGUCUCGAAUUCCCGAUACGCGAAUAAAAAUGCUUAUUUAAAAGACAUUUUAGCUAUCUCGAAUUUAAAAGGGAGAUCACGACCAGUAAGUUAGGACGUGAUUUUUAAAACUUGAGUUUGAAAAGAUUCAUGUAAUAAAGUUUAAAAGGAUAUUCAAACGUUUAAAUCAAAAGAAGAAAUCACGACCCAAUACGUUAGGGCACAAUUUCUCAAAAUAUUAAACAUUAAAUAUUGCGUUUAUUGCGAAAAAUCCUCGUCUCGAGAAAAUAACGUGUCACGUCCAAUGCGUUAAGACACAAUGUAUUGAAUUCUCGAUAAUGAGCUUUUUAGUUAUAUUUUUUUUAUAAAAAGAGUAAUCUCGAUUAUUUAGAUUCAACAAAUAAAAUCGGAACCCAAUACGUUAGGGCUUGAUUCUCUCGAAGAUUCCAAAUACCGAGUGGUACUUAUAUUUUUAAAAUUUUCGCUUUUUACGUAUUCGAGUAAAAAUUAUAUAUGAUAGAAUAACUAUUAUGAUAUGCAAGUAAAAAUAAUACGAGCAGUAGCAAAUAAAAGAUAAAUAAAAGACAAACUAAUUAUACAAGGUAAUAAGCAGAUAAGCUUUUCAAAUAAAAUGAGCAUAAGAUAGAAAGCAAAUGUCGCACGAAACAAUGAAAUUAUAGAAGAAAUAAAAAGGAAUGUAUAUAAAAAAUGUAUAUGUAUGUAUUUGAAAUUAUACAAAAUGUGUAAGUGUAUAUACAUAUGUGUAUAAAAUUACGGAAAUAUGAAAAGUAUAUACAUGUAUACAUAUUUUAAAAUUAUUAUACAUGAAAAUAUAUGUAAGUAUGUAUUAAAAUAUGUAUAUAUGUAGGUAUAUAAAAAUUAUGAAGUAUAUAAAAAGAUAAAAGUAUGUAUAUAUAUACACAUUUAAAAAAAACUUAAAAAUAUGUACAUGUGUGUAUUUUUAAAAAAGAGUAUUGAUGUGUAUAUAUAAAAUAUAUAAAAAAAACAUAUGUAUGAAUAUAUACAUAAUUGUGAAUAUAAAAAGGGUACACGGUUAUAUACAUAUAGAUAUAGACAUGCGUAUGGAUAUUAAAAUAUAUAUAUAUGAGUAUAUGAGUAUAGAUAGAUUAUGAAAAUCUGCCCAUGCAAGUAUAUAUACAUAUAUAUAUAUUAUAAGAGCGCAUGUAUGUAUGUAUAUUUAUAUAUAAAAAAUGUAUGUAUAGACAAAUUAUAAAGUACAUAAAAAAAAAUAUAUAUAACAAAAUCUAAAAAUGGUAUAAAUGGAUAAAUAAAAUGCACUAAUAAUAAUAAUAAUAAUAAUAAUAAUAAUAAUAAUAUGAUGCAAUAAUAUAACAAUGAAUAGAUAAGUAUGUAAAUAAAAUACAAAAAUAACACAAAUAGACUAAUUAGGAAUAAAAAUAAAAUUAAAGGGUCGAAAUUGUAAUAAAAUAAAUACGGAGGGAUGAAAAUGGAAAAUAGCAUGAAAGGGCAGGGGCCAAAUGAGUGAAUAUACCAGACCUUGGACACGUGUCCACUUUUUAGGGCGCUGAGGGGUCAGGGAUCCGAUUGAAAUCCAAACAAAGUUGCAGGGCCGAAUUAAAAAGUGAAAAUAAACAAAGUUGCAGGGCCAGGAUUGCAAAUAACCUAUUCCAUGAAAACGCGCGGGUCAUGGGGCUAAACGGCGCCGCUUUGUGCAGGCUAUAAAAGCCAAAAAUUUGUCAAAACUUCUCAAUUUUCCUUUUUUCCCCAAAAAAACAAAAAAAGGCUCUCAAACCCCCCAUUUUCUGGUCUCGGGUUUGGCCAAGGGCCACCGUAUCGGCCGUCGGAUCGCCGGCGUCGGCGACGCCGUACACAGUGGCCGGCGAGUAUAGAAAGGCUUGCCCCUAUAGAUCCCGACCUUCUAAACUCGGAUCUGGCCUCAAAAUAACCAAAAACGAUGGGGAAAAGGUCGUUAGGCUUCCCUACAGUCGGUUUCGUCACCGGAGGAGUCUCCGACGAGGAGGAAACCAGUGACCCGCGGUGAGUUUCUCCUUUUUAUUUAUUUUUUAUUUUCGUUUUUAGAAAUCAAAAUAGAAAAUAAAAUAACCAAAAAAAAGAUUGUAAUCGAAAAAACUAGGAAAUCACCUUGAAGCUUGAUUUUUUUUAUUAUUCUGUUGAUAUUUGCUUUUUUGUUACAAAAAUCGGGAAAAUAAAAAAGAAAAAGCCCCCUCAAAGUUACAUGUUCUUCGGCUUUUAAAGUCAAUUUUUGUUACUGUUCCUGUCUUGUUUGUUUCUCUUCUUUGCAAGUGACGGUGCAAGUGGCCGAUGGUGGCAAGCGGUGGCAGUGUCAGAGGGCAGGUAGCUACGGCGCUAGGGUUUCAGAAAAGCUGAAACCCUAGUUUGACUUUGGGUUUGCUGGGCUAGGACAUUGGGCCUGUAAUUGGCUGUUGGGGUUUGGGUCAUUAGGUCAGUGAGCUGGUGGGCAAAAUUGGGCUGGUACAACUAUUAAACAAGAUUGAACAACCUCAAUCUUCAAUGGAAACAACCUAUUCUGACUUAUUUCCAUAAUAGCAACAACUGUUCUAGAUGGAUUAGAAAUCUCACAAGCACCAUUCGUGAAAGUGACAACAUACCCUUUUUCCAACAGUGGCAUCAAAGCCAAGUUUAUUCUUGUUAGCUUAGAAAACUUUUCACCUAUGGCCUCGAAAAGUAGUUUUGUUCAAGUAGUUAUUCCUUAUUUUGAUGAUCAUUAUGACCAUUGGAGUACGCUAAUGGAGAAUUUCCUAUGGUCAAAAAAGUAUUGGCCAAUGGUUGAGGCAGGUAUCGAAGAGCCUGCAGAAGGAGAAACUUUGACUAAUGCCUGGAAAGUAAAGUUCGAAGCGAGAAUGCUGAAAGAUUUGAAGGUGAAAAAUCAUCUCUUUCAAGCUAUUGAUUGUCCCAUCUUGAAAACUGUUCUUUGCAAAAAAACUUUCAAGGAUAUAUGAGAUUCCAUGAAGAAAAAGUAUCGAGGCACUGCCAGAGUGAAGUAAUAACAUCUUCAAGCCUUGAGGAGGGACUUCGAGACUCUAUAGAUAAAUGAAUGGGAAUCUAUCACUAGAAAUUGUGUUAGAACCAUGGAGAUUUGUAAUAGGAUGUAGUUCUAUGAUGAGAAGAUGGAGGGUGCCACCAUAGUGGAGAAGAUUUUGCGCUCCAUGAUGCUGAAGUUUGACAUGUCGUUUGCAUCAUUGAAGAGUCAAAAUACAUGAUGAAUUGUCUCUUGAUGAGUUGUAAAACUCUUUAUUUGUACAUGAGCAAAAGAUGAAUUUUACUUCAGCCUUCAAGGAACAAACUUUGAAGGCUUUUACUUUUUUUUUCAAUUUUAGAGGAAUAGGUAAAGGUAGAGGUAUAUAUUGGGAAAUGUGCCCAUAUUUUAGUAAACAUGUAACUACUUUUUAUUUAUUUAAACAGUGAAUUAAUAAAUAAAAUUAAUUUCACAUUUCGCUAUUAUGUCUUUUGUAUUUUCGGUCUUUUAUAUUUACAAUACAUAGCAAAAUUGUGACAAGCAAAUAUUAGCUCAUUGAUUGUCUAAAGUUCAAACUGAAGAUAAGUGACAUUGUAAAGAAUAUUUACAUUGUGAGAAAGACUACUUAUUUUAGUAGAUAAUCUAAAUUAGUUCGUAAUCUCGUAAAAGAAUCAAAGUGAGCAUUUGAUUCACAUACUGAGAAGGAUUAUUAUGUCUUCUACAAUUCCAAUUGGGGAGAUUGCUAGUCUUGGCUAUUGGAGCAGUUGACUCCAUUAGUAGAGAAAUAGAUGUAUUCAUUGGUAGAAUGAUACAUUGGACUGGACCCAAAAUGAAUUAAUUUUGAAUCUAUUUGUGAAUUAAUUCACUUGUGACGUUCGUGGUGUGGUUUACCCAAAUCUUAAGUUAGUCACUGACCAUGCGUAUCGAACCCAUGUGCUUUGAUACAAGUGGAGGCUUAUGCUCUAAGGAUGAUCGAGCCCACAGUCGGUAUGUUGGGUACAUAACUUGUGUAUGACAUGACUUUACUAGCAACAAUGUAAUUCAUAGCUCAAUUAAAGAGUUAAUGAUAUCCUCUCAUUGGUAUUGUAUGGAUUGAUAAAUAUAAAACGUGGCCACGGGGUGCUUAUUCUCGAAAGAGUAAUUUAUUACAGUCAUUUGUUGACAGUGGUCGUAUUAAUCAUUAAGAAGACACAAUGGUGAUAAUGAGAUAAAAUAAGAUUGUAUUAAGUGAACGACUUUAACUCAAAGGAAUCAAUGAUAUCAUAUGAGGGUAACACACAUCAUGAGGUCAUUGGACAAAGCAGUUGGAUGAAUUGCUUUCUUAAAGAGUAUACAAUAAGGAGUUUUCAAUUAUGGCACUUCUUAUGGACUGACUCUUGAUUAAGUAAUUGCGAAUUAUCGUAACGAUGCUUUUGGACAUAAUUACAAUCACUAGAGCCUAAUUGUAUAUGUUCAAUUGGUCCAUCCGUUAGCUCAACAAAAGCUUGAUCAUUCUGCAUUUGAAUCAGAAGAAAAUUCUACGACUUUAGAAAUGAUUUAAUUGAGUCAAUUUAUUCGAUAUGGAAUUAAAUUAGGUGGUCGUGAGAAUUGUUCAACUAGAGAAUUUGAUUAAAAAUUUUUCUUAAAAAAUUAAUUUGGAAAAUCUAAGUGAUUUUUGGGAAAAUUAAUUUUGAUCAAGUAAAAUUAAAUUAAUCAAAUCAAUUAAAAUUAAUAUGAUAUUUUUGGAAAUUAAUUUUCAAGUAAGACAAUUGGCCCAAUAGGUAAUUGAACUUAAAAAUUGGACCUGAGAUCGUGAGCGUGAGAGCCCAAAACCAAGACCAAGACCAUGACCCAAAAACUUGUCGAACUGGGCCCGGUAUGUGAAACCGGGCCGACGGUCCAAUUGGUGACUAGAUUGAAUUGGUCGGGUUGACAUUGACCCGGACCAAACCAGCUUAGGGUGCCGUAAGGGUGUCCCACCUACGUCACCGGACAUGUCGGUGUGGGUGGCUGCAACGGCGGCGUCCUGGUGACUGGCGGCAGUUGGUCAUCGAUGAUUGAGUUGUGGAAGGGUUACUCUCCUAUUGGGACUCUACCAGAGAAUUUGAUUUCAAAUUAACUACUUCAAAAAUAAUAUUAUUUUAAUAGUUUAACAUUAAAUUCAAUUUAAUGUUUAUCUUGUAGAUAAAUAUUUUAUUAUUUUAAUAAGAUUUAAUAUUAAAUUUAAUCUAAUAUUUAUCUUGAUAAAUAUUAGAUUAUAUUAAUUGAAUAUUAAAGUGAUUUAGUUUAAUCAUAGUUGAACUCUCUAAACUCUCCUUAUAUAAAGAGAGCAUUGAGUCAUUAUUUACACACACUUGAGUUCAAGAGAAAGUUGUAGAGAGAAAAUUUUCUGAAGAGAUUAUUCUAAAAAAUUUCUAGAGAUAUUUUUUUGAUUUAUAACUUGACCCAAAAGUUUAGAGAGAUUGCAAAAUUACCCCACUGGUAAUUUUUAUGAAAAAUUUUCUAAUUCGAAGUGAGCUCACAUUUGGCAGACAUGAGCUUGAGGAUUGUGGAGAAGGCUACUCGGUCGAAGCGCUAAUCCUAGACGAAUCAAAAAGAUAUAAUUUGGAUUAAGUGUUUAUUAUUUUAGAUAUCACAACCUAAAUUUAUUUUCCUCUGUAUUUUCUAAAUCUUUUUUCCAACAAUAUAGGGAGAAGUUUGAGCUAAUAGAAAAAGUGGCAACAGAAAUGGUAGCAAGAAUUACAAAAUCAAUGAUGACCAAAGUAAGGAUAAAUGACGAGAUUUUGAUAAAUCUAAAAUAAAAUGCUUCAUAAGGUAAAAAUUUGGUCAUUGUCAUUUUGAAUGUUAUUUUAGGCUACUAAAUGAUAAGGAUGAACAAGCGACAUUCACUGGACCAGGAGCGCCCCCUCUAGUAAAAGCUUCCACUGCCGGUUAACCAAUCACAUUGAAAAGGAAGCUGAGACAAAUGUAUAAUAUGUGGAUAUAGGUUGUAGUAUUUUUUUCGUAUUUAAAUGAUAAUUUUCGUUGUAGAAUCACCUCUGGUGAUUAUUGUACUGUCGAUUUCAUAAUUAAAAUUUUACAUGAAAUUUAAUGUUUUCUAAAAACCUUUGUUUUUGAAGACUUUUGUUACUAUACCCCGCUCCAUAUAAGAUCCAUCACCGUCAAAUGACAAAAAGUAAUUCAAUGCACUUUAAUUGUGCCAGCGGCUCCAAGCCCAUUGAUUUCACUAUAAAUUCCAUGCUUUUAGGUUAACCAUCUUCACACAAUCAAAUCAAGCUAGUUCGCAAUGGCUUCCACUACCAAUUCCCCAUCAACCCUCCUCACCCUUCCUAAUUUCUCCAUUCAAACUUCAACAUUCCUUCCCAAAACAUCUCAAGGUUCCAUAUUUAAGAAGAAAAAGCCUUUCAACUUUAACUCCAAAAGAGUAGUGUCAUGCAAAGCCAGCAAUGGGAAACAAAACGAUGCAAAUCACACUUCUUUUCUCAAUAGGUUCGAUAGAAGGGACAUCUUCCUUGGCCUUGGAGGAAGUCUCUACGGUGCAACCAGCCUUGUUAGAGACCCAUUUGCAUUGGCAGUCGUCCCAAUCGAGCCUGACCUGUCCAGCUGUGGGGAAUCAACCGUAGAUGCCGGUACAACCUGCAUGAAUGUCCCUUGCUGCCCACCAAAGUUAAAAGAUUCAAAGAUCAUAGACUUCGAACCACCUUUAGGUUGCAAGAUCCAUUAUCGGCCGGCAGCACAUUUAGUUGAUCGUGAUUACCUGUAUAAAUUUGAAUCGGCAAUGGAGAGAAUGAAAGCUCUCCCUGUGGAUGAUCCACGUAAUUUCAUGCAACAAGCCAAUAUUCAUUGUGCCUAUUGCAAUGGGGCUUAUAGUCAAGUGGGGUUCCCCGAUCAAAAACUUGAAGUUCACUACUCGUGGCUUUUUUUCCCAUUCCAUAGGAUGUAUCUGUAUUUCUUUGAGAGGAUAUUGGGCAAGUUGAUUGGUGAUCCAGAUUUCACAAUGCCAUUUUGGAACUGGGAUUCUCCUGUUGUUCCAAUAGGGUCGGAAGCGUGUAAAUUAUUGUACUAAAAAAUCACACAAAGUUCAAUUCCCAGGGAAGAGAGGUGGAUCACAUGGAUCUCUUAAAUACCAAGUCUUUCCUUAGACAGAAUAUCCCUUCUAUAGUAAUUUAAUAGCACAAUUAAAUACUACUAUUAUACCCUCAAAUAUUGAAAGAAAAAUAGGACAAGAAAGAACACAAGAGAUUUAACGAGGUUCGGUAAAUUAUACCUACGUCCUCGGGCACUAACACCAGAUGAUAACUUUACUAUCUCCAAAGUAUUACAAACAAAUAGAAUUCCUUAAGAAUUCUCAAAUGGGAGAAGAGAGAAAACUAAGAGAGAAAGAUUGGUUGGGAUGAAUUGAAAUGAGAAAUGAGAAGGCCUAUUUAUAGUUGAGGUUUAAGGAUCAAACAAUAAAUAGCCCAUUAUCUCAAGGACCAAAAAAAAAUUAUCCCAUGCCACUUUUUCAAAGUCAACUUUAGGGUGCUAAACUUGCACCACUUGGAUUGUUUUCCAUUAAAAUUGUCUGCCAUUAAUCAUAAUGUUAACAAUCUCCACCUUGAAGAUUUGAUUAGGAUAAUCACAUCUUCACACACUUCCUUCAACUCCCCAAAUUUGAUAAAGCUAUCUUUUGUAGUGCCUCCAAAUGCACUCUCGAGCGCAAUACACCUGAAGGUGCUCAAAUUCUCAGGAUGUUAAUCAAGUUCAAACAAUGAUUAAACUUGAUUGUUGUUACCACAUUGGUCAUCAUAUCUGCGGGAUUAUCUGCUGUUGGAAUCUUCUGAAGUAGAAUUUUUCCUUUUUCAAAGACUUCCCGCACAAAGUGAUAUCUUACGUCGAUAUGUUUGGUUCUUGAAUGAUAGACUUGAUUUUUCGCUAAAUGAAUAGCGCUCUGACUGUCACAAUAUAAACUUAUGUGACUUUGAACAACUCCUAAGUCUUUCAACAAUCCAUUAAGCCAAAUAGCCUCCUUAACAGCUUCUGUAACUGCCAUAUAUUCUGCCUCUGUAGUAGACACAGCUACUGUAGACUGUAAGGUAGAUUUCCAACUCACUGGGGCUUUCGCAAGAGUAAACAGAUACCCCGUAGUUGAACGACGUUUAUCUAAAUCACCAGCAAAGUCGGAAUCAACAUAUCCAACUACAAACUGACCAAGUGCUUCAUCCUGUUCAAAAAUUAAACCAACAUCUACGGUUUUUCGAAGAUACCGUAGAAUCCAUUUCACAGCUUGCCAAUGUCCUUUUCCAGGAUCAUGCAUAUACCUGCUCACAACUCCAACAGCUUGUGAAAUGUCAGGCCUCGUACACACCAUCGCAUACAUCAAACUCCCAACUGCAUUAGCAUAUGGGACUUUCACCAUAUAUUCUCUUUCAUCUUUAGUCUUCGGAGAUAAUUGAGCACUAAGUUUCAAAUGAGAAGCAAGUGGGGUACUUACAUGUUUUGUGUUUUCAUUUACACCAAAACAUUGUAAUACCUUUUUCAGAUAUUGCUUCUGAUUUAAACAGAACUUGCCUCUCGGUCUAUCUCUACUUAUCUCCAUGCCGAGAAUCUUCUUAGCCUCACCUAGAUCUUUCAUCUCGAACUCUUGAUUCAACUGAGCCUUCAGCUUAUCUAUCUCAUUUUGGCUCUUCGAAACGAUUAACAUAUCAUCAACAUACAAGAGUAGAUAAAUGAAAGAUCCGUCAUGCAGCUUCUGCAAAUAUACACAAUUGUCAUAUUUGCUUCUUGUGUACUUCUGCCUUCUCAUAAAGCUAUCAAAUCGCUUGUACCACUGCCUCGGGGAUUGCUUCAAUCCAUAUAGCGAUUUGUUAAGCUUACAAACCCAAUUUCUACCACCAGCAUCUGUGUAUCCUUCGGGCUGAGUCAUAUAGAUCUCCUCUUCUAACUCACCAUGCAAGAAAGCCGUCUUAACAUCAAGUUGAGCUAGCUCCAAAUUCAACUGUGCUACCAAGGCCAACAAAAUUCUAAUGGAGGAAUGCUUCACAACAGGGGAAAAUACAUCAUUGUAGUCAAUUCCCUCCUUCUGAGCGUAGCCUUUAGCUACCAAUCUUGCCUUGUAGCGAAUAUCCUUCUUGGUAGGAGAUCCAUCUUUCUUUGCGAAUACCACUUGCAUCCGAUUGCCCUUUUACCUUUCGGUAAUUGCGCCAACUCCCAAGUAUUGUUCUUCCGGAGAGACUGCAUUUCUUCAUCCAUGGCGCUUUUCCAUUUAUCACUUUCUAAGCUUUGCAUUGCUUCUUGAGAAGUGAUAGGAAUAUCAUCAACAACGGGAAGGGCGUAGGCCACUAUAUCAGUAAAUCGAGCAGUUUUACGAAUUUCUCUCCGUGGCCUUGCAACUGCAACUGGUUCUGGUGUACUUAGUGGUUCUUGGGUCAGAACCUCUUCAACCUCUAAUUCCUCCAUUGUGGCUGGAGAAUUAGACUUAUUAACUGGGCAAAUCCCCAUCUGCUCAAACUCCACCUGUUUUGGAGUACACUCCACCUGCUGUGGAGUAUUGCUCGUCUGAAUAUCUUUAUCUGCUACCUUUUUCAAUGUGGCAGAUUCAUCAAAGGUAACAUCUCUGCUACAGAUCAUUUUCUUUAUGCUUAAGCACCAAAGACGAAAUCCCUUCACUCCAGAAGUGAUUCCCAUAAAGAGAGCUUUCUUUGCCCUUGGAUCUAACUUUGACUUCUUCACAUGGUAAUAUGCAGUGGUUCCAAACACAUGUAAGGAAUCAUAAUCUGUAGCCGGUUUUCCAGACCAUACCUCCAUAGGAGUUUUUCUUUCUAAUGCAGAUGAUGGCAAAUGAUUAACAAGAUGGCCAGCGUAUGUCACAGCCUCAGCCCAAAAUUGCUUGCCCAACCCAGCAUUGGACAACAUACAUCGAACUUUCUCCAGCAAUGUUCGAUUCAUACGCUCUGCCAAUCCAUUCUGCUGUGGUGUAUCCCUAACUGUGAAGUGUCAAACAAUACCAUACUCUUGGCACACAUCGAAGAACGGAUCACUUUUAUAUUCCCCUCCAUUGUCCGUCCUAAGCCGCUUGAUUUUCUUGCCAGUCUGGUUUUCGAUCAUAGUUUUCCAUUUAAGAAAAACUCUAAGCACUUCAUCCUUAGUUCUCAUGGUAUACACCCAAACUCUUCUGGAAAAGUCAUCAACAAAAGUAACAAAGUAGUGUUUUCCUCCCAAUGAAGGUGUCUUGGAAGGCCUCCACACAUCUGAGUGAACAUAUUCCAAAAUAUCUUUUGUAUUAUGGAUAGCAGUACCGAAUUUCACUCUCUUUUUCUUUCCCAGAACACAAUGCUCGCAAAAUUUUAAUUUACAAGCCUUUGCACCUUUCAACAAUCCUUGCUUUGCCAGAAUUUGCAAGGAUUUUUCGCUGGCAUGUCCCAACUUCAUAUGCCACAACUGUAUUGAGUCCAAUUCUUUGUUGCCGAAAGCUACAGCGACUGCUCCAAUAACUGUACUACCUUGGUAGUAAUACAAGUUAUUUUUCCUGAUGCCCUUCAAUAUCACAAGUGCGCCAGAUGUCACUUUCAAAACCUCAUCUCUCAUAGUAACAACUGAACCAUUGGAUUCCAAGGCUCCCAAUGAGAUGAGAUUUUUCUUCAAACUAGGCACAUACCGAACAUCAGUCAGAACUCUGGUUGAUCCAUCUUUAUUCUUUAAUUGGAUUGAACCUAUCCCAACAGUUUUACAGGCAUUGUCAUUGCCCAUAUAAAUAACUCCUCCAUUUAGUUCUACUAAAUCAGAGAACCACUCCCGGUUAGGGGACAUAUGAUAGGUACAACCCGAAUCCAAUAUCCACUCAUCUGAAUGGAACGACGAUGAUGAUGCAACCAGUGAUAGUUCAGAGUCACUGGUAUCAUGCUUUGCAACACAAGCAUCUACAGCAGCUUUUCCCUUAUUCUUCAGCUUUGGACAAUUUUUCUUCCAGUGGCCUUUCUCAUGACAAAAAGCACAUUCAUCUUUCCCGAGUCUGGACUUUGACUUUGAUCUCCCCUUUUGAGUUUUCUUCCGAGUGUAUGAAUGACCUCAGACUACUAAAGCUUCUGUAUCUCUGAUUGAGUUUUUCUGUUUGUCAUUCUUUCUCUGUUCAUAACUGUAUAAGGCCGCACAGACUUCGCUCAGAGAUAUAUCACUCCUGCCAUGAAGUAGAGUAGUUUCUAGGAACUCAAACUCCUCAGGAAGUGACCCCAACAGCAUCAAAGCCAAAUCUUCAUCUUUGAAUGUCUCAUCCAUAUUCAGCAAAUCAGUGACUAACUGAUUAAAUUUGGUGAUGUGAUCAUUCAUUGUGGUACUUGGGACGUAUGUGAAGCGAAACAGUCUUUUCUUCAAGUGGACCUUAUUUUGACUGUUUUUCUUCAAAAAAUUUUCUUCAAGUGCCACCCACAACUUAUUUGCAGAAGUCUCCUUUGAAAAAGCAUACAUCUGCUCUCGAGAAAGGCAUGAUCGAAUUGUGCCAUAUGCCAACCGAUUGAUCGCCUUCCAAUCUUUCCCCUGUACAUCAUCUGGUUUCUCUUCAUCAAUGGCAAUGUCUAGACCCUGCUGAAAAAGGGCAUCUAGAACCUCACUUUGCCAUAUACCAAAAUGGCCCGUGCCAUCAAAGAUCUCCACGGCCAGUCUUGCAUUUGCAAUUGUCGGUCUUGUCCACAUGGACGAUGUUGAAGCUCCUACACCGACCGUUUUCUCCAUAAUCUUUCAAUAUACCUAAGGAAAUCUUUUCUGAUGUGGAAGAUCAGUUCAAACUGCAACCACAGAGCAUACUACGAUUAACCUUCGGCUCUUGAUACCACUUGUUGUUCCAAUAGGGUCGGAAGCGUGUAAAUUAUUGUACUAAAAAAUCACACAAAGUUCAAUUCCCAGGGAAGAGAGGUGGAUCACAUGGAUCUCUUAAAUACCAAGUUUUUCCUUAGACAGAAUAUCCCUUCUAUAGUAAUUUAAUAGCACAAUUAAAUACUACUAUUAUACCCUCAAAUAUUGAAAGAAAAAUAGGACAAGAAAGAACACAAGAGAUUUAACGAGGUUCGGUAAAUUAUACCUACGUCCUCGGGCACUAACACCAGAUGAUAACUUUACUAUCUCCAAAGUAUUACAAACAAAUAGAAUUCCUUAAGAAUUCUCAAAUGGGAGAAGAGAGAAAACUAAGAGAGAAAGAUUGGUUGGGAUGAAUUGAAAUGAGAAAUGAGAAGGCCUAUUUAUAGUUGAGGUUUAAGGAUCAAACAAUAAAUAGCCCAUUAUCUCAAGGACCAAAAAAAAAUUAUCCCAUGCCACUUUUUCAAAGUCAACUUUAGGGUGCUAAACUUGCACCACUUGGAUUGUUUUCCAUUAAAAUUGUCUGCCAUUAAUCAUAAUGUUAACAUCUCCCUGUGGGAUGACUAUGCCUCAGAUAUAUUUAGACCCUUACUCUCCAUUGUACGAUGAAAACCGCAAUUUGGAGCAUCAGCCGGACGUUUUGGUUAAUCUUAAUGACGGUAAAUCUUUUGUAAAACCAAAAAAAAAGGAUGAUUUUUAUGAAUUAGCAAAGAGGGAACAAAUAAAUAGUAAUCUCUAUGUGAUGUAUCAGCAAAUGGUACGGUCCGCCAAGACCGCUUCUUGUUUCCAUGGAGCGGCGUACCUUGGCGGUUGUGUAUCCGAAACCGAUAUCGGUUGUACUCCCGAACCGAGAGGUGGUACCAUUGAGAACGGUGCUCAUAUCGCCGUUCACAAGUUCGUUGGUGCCAAGAAUCCACCUUAUAACGAAGACAUGGGGAAUUUCUAUUCUGCUGGUAGAGACCCUUUGUUCUACGCUCAUCAUGGCAAUGUUGAUCGAAUGUGGAACAUUUGGAAGACAUUGCCAGGGAAGAAGCGACAUGAUUUCAACGAAAAUGUUUGGCUCAAUUCUUCGUUUCUUUUCUACGAUGAGAAUACAAAUAUGGUUCGUGUUAAAGUUCGCGAUUGCCUUGACUCUAAAACUUUGGGGUACGAUUACCAAAGUGUUGAUAUUCCAUGGCUUAGAAGCAAGCCAACACCUCGAAGGAGUUGUUCUGGUGUGGGGCGGGGUCAGGAUGUAGCAGCCAGACGAAAGAGUAAAAACCGCAGGGGUUUUCCUAUAGUUUUAGACAAGGUGGCCGUGCGCAUUGAGAUUCCAAGGCCAAAGAAAUCAAAGAAAAAAGAUGAUGAAGAAGUAUUGGUUCUUCAAAACAUACAGCUAGACAGAAAUGACUCAGUGCAAUUCGAUGUCUCCAUUAAUGACGACGAAGACGACGACAACCCUUGCAAACCAGAAGAUGCGGAGUUCGUGGGGAGCUUUUCGAAUUUACCGCACGGAGAUAAUUGCCACUCCGAGACGAUGCUUAGUACAAAUCUGUAUUUGCCAUUAUCAGAAGCGCUGAAGGAUUUGAAGAUUAAUCCAUUUGAAGAUAGCAUUGUGGUGACUUUGGUGCCUAAAGAAGGGGAAGUUUCGAUUGGUAACAUUAAGAUCGACUACGUUUGUUGAUUUGGGGGUGAAUAUUUUGCUUCAUCCUUUGUGUUCUCGCUAGAUCGGAUUGAUGGGGUUCAUUAAUUUGUUUCUUGCAUGUGUCUCUCUUUUUUUUAAUAAAAAUAUCAAGCUAAAUGAACAAAAGCAGCGGCAGCUUUAUCUUGCUCAAGAAGAUAAUCAACUCCUAAACGCGCCUGAUAUUUUCUGCCUAUCAUCAAUUCAAUCACGAGAUAUUUUAGUUAACAGAGUAACAACUUGAUUUCUUUAACUAUCCAAUACUUCUUGCACUGUAAUAUCUAUUUAAUUCGUCCAACCAAAACUAAAUUUGAUACCUCCAAAUAGCCAACUUGAAUAGCAUUGAAUGCUUCCAAGUAAUCUGUUUAAAUUAAGGCUUUGACAUAUCUUACAAGACUAACUCGUCUGAGAUACUCUAGAAUUCAAUAUUAAAGAUUGAACAAACAUCUAAAUUAUGAUUGAACCCGACAAUCCAAUCUUGCCAAAUUUUAUUAUUAAAUUUUACCAUUUACUUUUUGUAUUAUUUAUAAAUUUUAAGUAUAAUGGUUUAUUUGAUCUUUCAGCUUUAUAAAAAAAUAUCAUUUUAGUUCUUCAUUUAAUUUUGUCUCUUUUUAACCCUUAAAUUUAUGUUGUUUAUCAAAUUGUCCCAAAAUAAAUGAAAAAAUUAAUAUCUAUUAACUUUGUUGACACAUCCACGUGUAUGCCACAUCAACAUUUACUUAAUUCUUUUUACAAAAUUAAAAAGCAUUAAAAUUAUAAAAAAAUAUUAUAAAAUUAUAAGUUUUAUUUAAUAAUAAAAUUAUAAUAAAAUUCUAUAAAUUUUAGAAUUUUUAAAAAUUUUAAUCAAUUAUUGAUGUGACAUAUAUGUGGAAUGUCACAUAAACAAAAUUAUUAAGCGUUAAUUUUUCUAUUCAUUAUAAAGUGUUUUGACAAAAAAAACUAGUUUAAUAGUUAAAAGUGGCGAAGAUUAUAUGAAGGGUUAAAAUGACUUUUUUGUUUUCUAAAGUUGGAGGACUAAAUAAAUCAUUAUGCUUAAAUUUUAUCAUAUUUAUAAAUAAAAAUUUUAAUUUUACUAAAAUAUUUUAUUAAAUAUAUUUACUUUAUAAAAAAAUUGUCAUACAUUUAUAAGAAUUUCGAGUCAAUUAAAAUACUUUAAUUAAAUUAUUAUGUUUUCAUUAACCCAAAAAAGUUAUAUUACUUAUUUUUAAAUGAAUUUUUUUAAUUAUUUAUAUGAUAGGUAGCUUUAUAUUUUACAUGCAAUAUUUUAUAAAGAAUACAUUUAUAUAAUCUAAUCUAAUAUAUAUUAUAAUUAUAUGAAGGCUUGAUUCGCAAAUUGGUGCCUAAGUUAUGUUAUUUUUUUCAUUUUGGUAUCUAAACUCUUUUUUUUUUUUUGUUAUCAGUUAUCCUAAAGCUAUUUUUUUCCCCAAAUUGGUAUAUCUGCUAGUUAACCCAUUAAGUCUAUUUAAAAAAAAGUUCAACCCACAAAUUAGUAUAUUCUUUUUCCCAAAUUGGUACCUAAAUUUUUUUUUAUCAUAAGUGAUACCUAAACUAUUCUUCCAUCACCAUUUUACACCAAAAUAUUAUAUUCGUUAAAAAAAUUACAACCAAUUAUAGAUUGUCACUUCAUAUAAACUUUUAAUUGUUUUAACUUUUUCUAUUUAUUUUACAUUAUUUCUCUCUUUAUAUAUUUUAUUUAUUUAUUUUUCUUCCUUUAUAAUGCCUAGUAAUACCAACAAUACUUAAAAUUGAUUCGCUCAAGGUUGAGAUGUCGGUGAUUAAUUCUGUUUUGAAAUUUCACCAUGUUGAUUAAACCUUUAUAUGAAUUAUAUUUAAUUUGAGUUGGAAUCACAAUAAAUAAUUACAUAUAUUUAUGCAAGAAAUUAAGAAUUUUAUAUAGUUCAUGAAUAAUAUAUAAUUUUCUUAAUCCAACAUUCACCCUUGGGCAUUUCCAGCAUACUUCAACAUCUACACCAUAUCAUCAGUAGGCAGCCCAAUCACUAACUUCUGUCGACGAACAGCCUUACACUCCGUUGCAAACAAUCCCAUCCACUCCAAGGGGCCAUAAAUCAACCCCAACAAUCGCCCCACACCAUCCCCCAAGCCUUUCUUCACUCUGAAUACAAGACAUAAAAUAAAAAUGAAGAGACGACUCCUCCAUCUGCAAGGAAAGGAUGUUGCCCCCUUUCAACCGACCAUUCUCAAACCAUGGUUCAUGCCACCAACCAAGCUCACUUACCACCAAUAAUGGUUCUAAUCCAACAAAUAGAUCGCAUUUUGCAAAGGAAAAUGAUCUCUUCAGCAAUCCACUCUUUUCCAUUAAGUAUUAAUUCAUUCCUAGCUAGCCACAAUGACCAUAACAUAGCGCCACAAGCAAGAAGCCACUUCCUCUUAACAUUCGAUCUUCCAAACAUGCAGCAACGUACACAAAAUCACUGACAUUCCAAGGAAUCACCCACAUAACACCCCACCAUUGAAAAAACAGUCCCUAAGCUUUCCAAGAGGAAGAACGAAAGAAAAAAUUUAUCACAAUUCUCUUCAGCUUCAUUGCACCAAGAACAAUUAACACGACCAUUAACUGUUGGAAUACCUCGAUCCCUUAAAAAUGCAUUUUGAAGGUAUGCCAUUUUGGAAUAACAGCCAUAGGAAGCGUUGCACCUUUGUUGGAACGCAUAGCUUCCAAAUGAAAGAAAACCACACCUUUUGAUGCGCCAAAGAACCUCACAAUCAAGAGAAAACACAACUUUCUUCACAGUACAUUUCCCUUUGCUGUCCACCUCCCACAUUAACUGAUCUGCCUUGUUCUCAUUUAAAGAGACCCCUUUGAAAAUCUGCCACAACUCCAUUGCAGACACCCUCUCCUGUUCAAACAAAUCUCUUUUGAAAAAUCUUUCACCCUUGUGAAGAUCAUCCCAAGCCUCGUCCACCGUGAUAUUUUUCUUCAAAGCCAAGAAGAAAGUCUGGGGAAUCUGUCUUUCAAAGCACACAGUCCAAUCCAAUGAUCCAUCCAAAAUGAAACUGAUCUCCCACUGCCGACGCACCAUAUAAAGCUUCCUUCACCUAACAUUUUGUCCAUCCCUUCGUGUCUUCUAACUUCCACAACUCCUUUCCAAACCUUCGACAUUGUUGAGAAUUCACCACAUUGGGCCUCCAACGAUACUUGCCAAUACCAUAUUUUUCGUCCCUAUUAUUGAUGUGGUGAUUGUCAAUUUAAUUCUUACACAUUAAAAGUACAUAAAAAUAUUUUUUAAAAAUUAAAAAUUAAAAUUUUUUCUUAUUUUCAAUAAAAAAUCGUAAAAGGUUUACUAAAAAUUAUGAAAUGCAUUAUUUAAAAUUAAAAAUUAAAUUAAAAAUUCAAAAAAAAUAUAAAUUAUUUCAAAAAUUCAAAAAAAAAAGUAAUAAGAACUAGACUUAUCCAUAAAUUGGUUUCGGCAAAGGUUUUAUGUCUCGAGCCGAGACCAAACCAAAAUAGAAUUUAAGUAAUCAAAAUAUUUUUAAAUUUGAAUUUGAUUAUAAAAAUUAAUAUAAAAUAUAUGUUUAAUAUUUUAUUAUUUUAAACAAUAAAACAAGUUUUUUAGACGAGCUAAACCAGAAAAAAAGCUUAACUGCAACUUGACCUGACCAGGCCUAAUAAGAAGCUUCAAUCUUCUAUGGAUGACGACUCAACGGUUAGUAUUAUUGUGAAGGAUAUUAAGGCAAAAAGCAAUAGGUCCGAGAACUAACUUUUCGAUUUGUACCGUGUCGAUUUAACAACUCCGCACAUGUACGCUCGUCAGUAUAGGGUAGUCAUAUUCUUGUUCCAUGCACUAGAUGGAGGAAACCUCGGUGGGUGUCGAAAACGCUGCAGUAAUGGAUCGACGAUGGGUGGAUCCGCUCAAUUAGUGAUACUUGGUCUUGGUAGCGGAGAUACUAUCGACUCUUGAACUCCGAUUCUCUCUUUCUUGAUCGAUUAAAGUGAUUAUUUUCUGAAGAAUUGAAUAGAGACGUUUUCAGUUUGCUUGCUGGCAAUGGAAUUUAGUUGUGGAUUCAUCUGGUUUUAAUUUUGUUUCAAUCUUAAUAAAUACUUUUAAUUUUUUGUUUUGUUUUAAUGAAUUCUAUCAGGUUAUAUUACUAUUUUCAGUGGACGUAUCAAUAGUUGUAUAUUUAUUUAAUUUAUUUUUACUAGAAAUAAAAUUUCCAGCUUACUUUAAAAAAAAAAAAAAACCUUCAAACGUAGUGAGUUGGGUCCUGUUUAAUCUAUCUCCUCCUAAAAAUAAAAAUAAAAAAUUGCUCAAACUUGAGCCUGAAUGAGUGCUCAUCUCCAAGCGCCUCUUGUACGCUUCUUUGCUCUCUCCUUUGGAGAGUUUUUUCAUUAGGGCAUAGCCGUGCGCCUCUCGGCCCUAUUCUCGUGCUCUGCAAUAUCCUGCACAGUGGUCUUCACCACCUUGAUGUAAUAUGGUCUUUGACCUAUUUCUCUAAUUAUAUGGUUGAUGAUUUCCUGGAUUAAAAUAAAAAAGCCGAAAAAGUUCUAACAUAUUUAAGGCAUGGAAAAGGUAAGAAUUAAGGGCGUUGAUAGGAGACAAGAAGCAAGACAAAGGGGAAGGAGACGGAAACAGAUAAAUCAAGGUGGACUGAAAGUGGCAGGUAGCGAGCAGGUGGUACAAUAUGUUGAAAGUGUCGGUAGGCAGUAUACAUGUGGUAGUGGGGAAGCUAAUAUUGGUAAGGUGGUAUAAGGGAUUGGAUAUUUAUAAUAUCAAUUUAUAUUUUAUUAUUUAGGGUAAACUACACCAAAGAUCAUUAAAUUAUUAAUAUGUUUACAUUUUGGUCAUUUAACUUCAAAAAGUUACAAAAUAAAUCAUUAAAUCUUGAUUGAUCCUCCAUAUUCCAAGGGUUUAUUUGAUUCACUCCAAUCCAAUCUAAUUUUCAAAAGCUAAGAUUUAGUUUCCAUAGAUGGACCAAAAAAAUCUUCAAUUAAAUAGCACAUAACCAGGUCCAACUAUUUUCUUCGCUAAAUUACCAAAGCAAAUAAGGUAAUUAAGUAUUUAACCACUUCAAUGGCAAUCUGUAGUUGGCACUAUCGAGUGCCACUCAGCAAUUCUCAACACAUUUUGCCUCAACAAACAUAAUCAAAUAUAAUUUAGUAAUUAUUAUAAAUAACUACUAAUAACUCUUGGGUCUAGGUUUUAGGAUUUAGGGUCUUUUAAGUUUAGAGUUUAGGUUAUUAGUAUUUAUUUAUAAUUAAUUAUUAUUUAAUUAUGGUUUAAACAAAGCUACUCGGAUUUAUUUAUAUGUUUGUCACUAUUUUUUUAGGCAUAAUGAUUUUUUUGACCCUCCAACUUUAUAAAAAAAUUAUUUUAACCCUUCAUUUAAUUUUCUACCUCUUUUAGCCCUUAAACUUGCAUUGUUUGUCAAACCACCCUAAAUUGGAUGAAAAAGUUAACUUCUUUCAAUCCACAUAAAUGUCACGUUAGAAAUUAAUUAAUUUUUUAAAUAUAAAAAAGUAAAAAAAGUAAAAAAUUAUUAAAAAUACAAGAAAUAUUUUUUUAAUAUUUUAAUUUUUUAAAAAUCAAUUAAUUGCUUAUGUGAGAUACACGUGGACUUUCACAUGGAUGCCAUGUUAGCAAAGUUAACCGACAUUACUUUUUCCAUCUAUUUUGAGGUAAUUUGACAAAUAAUGCAAGUUCAAUGGCUAAAAGAGAUGAAAAAUUAAAUUGAGGAAUAAAAUGACUUUUUUUUUAUAAAGUUGAGGCCAAAUAAAUCAUUAUGCCUUUGUUUCAUUCAAUAACGAGGUUUGAUGUUGUAUUAUUAUUCACUCAAUAUUCUUGAUGAUCAGUCAUAUUUAAUUAUAAGAAACACUUAAUAUUAAUUAUAUGAAAAAUGUAUAUUAUUUUUAAAUUAAAAAUAAACACACGUGUAAAAUAUGUAAUUAGUAAAACAUGAAGUCAAUUUGCAUGUACAUCAAACUAUGCAUCAAUUCUCAAGUUCAGGUACAAUUUCUCCUUUGGUAGAGUCAAUAAUAUCCUUUCACACUAUCUUAUUUUGAUGCCACUAAACUUAAAUCUAACUUAAAAUAAUGUUAAAAAUUUCAUUUAUAGAAAACCAACAUAAGUGAGAAUUGAUUGAUUUGAUAAAAAAUAAAUAUAAUAUUAAAUUUAAAUAAAUAUUAAAAAUAAUUAAAAAAUAAUAAAAUUAUUCAUUUAAUUCGAUUGUGUAAUCUUUAACUUGUAACACAUACAAAUGUGCAUGAUAAAGUAUAUAGGGAUGGUAAUUAAGUUAGGCGGGGUGGAUAUUGUCAAUUCCAUCACCGCUCUACAGUUGGUAUGCUUAGUCCUAAUAUCUGCCAUGCUCCAUCAUGGGUGUAUGAUCUUGAACACUACCAUUACUAGCUCCAUAGAUAUUGGAUAUAUCUAUCUUCUCCCCGCUUCACUUAAUUUAAUUUUUUUAUUUAAAUAAUUUUAAUCUUUUAAAUAUAAUUUUUUGAAAAAAUAUAAUAUUUUAUUUUGUAAUAUUUUAAUUAUUGAAAUAAUUAAUAUUUUUAAUUAUAUUAAAUGAUUUGGAUGAUAUUAUUUUACAUCAAUUAUAUCAAAUAAAAAUAUAUUUUUAAUAAAUAAAAAGAAACACAAAAAAAUCAUUGGGGGCUAAAGUAUAAUUUUAUCUUUGUAUAUGCCUGUUAAUUUAGAAUUUUGAAGGGAUUAAAUUGGAAAAAUUUCAUCUUAGAGUGCCAAAGUGUAUUUUUACAAUUAAACUAACUUAUGAUUUUAAAAACUUCAAGGGACUAAAAUAAUAAUUAGCUUAGGGGUGAAGCCAGGAAAUUUCAUUUUUUGGGGAGGGGGUGGAAUUAAAUUGUUUAUUUUAACGAUAGUGAAAAUACAAUUUCACCAAUUUAAUAGCAUAUAUGUUUAUUGUAAUACCCAAUUUUAGCUCGGACUCACAAAAAAAUAAUAAACCCAAAAUAAUAAAACAAAGUCUAAGUCCAGUACAAAAUUAUAUCAUUUGGCCCGAUCGGAAUGGCCCAUUACUUGAAAAUGUUAAAGGUCCAUCUACAAGCUUAUGGAAACAUAAUCUUUAAGGAUAUGCAAUCUUAGAUAUGAUAUAUGCAAUCUUAGAUAUGAUAUGCAAUCUUAGAAGAUAUGAUUUUGUAAUCUUAGAGAUUUAAUUUGUAGAUACCAUUUAAUCUUAGCCGUUGAUGUAAUUGAUCUGUACCGUUGGAUUUGGGGAGGCUCAACUAUAAAUAGAGGCCUCUCCCUUCAUUGUAAAAGGGGGGAGUGGGAGUAAUAAUAAUUCUUAAAAGUAUUCACUUAAAUUUCUCUUUCUCUUGCGUUCUUAUUUUCUGUGGCUUGUUCUUAUUUUGUUGAUUUGUGUAUAAUUUAUCUAUUGAUUUGUAUAUUGUUCAUUUCAAAUCUUUUUUUUCCCUUUUUAUUCAUUUUCAAAUUCAUUAUUUUCAAAUUUGUUUACAUUUUAUUUUGCCUUAUAUUUUUUAUUUUAUACUCUUUGUUUUAAAUUCAUUGGUCUUUUAUUAUUGAUGCUAUUUAAUCCUCUAUUUAUUAUUAUUUUUUAUUAAAUUAAUUAUUUUAAUAUUAUUAAUACUAUUAUGUGGCAUCAUUAAUCUUGUAUCAUUAUUAUUUACUUUUUUAUGCCUUUAAAUUUCAAAAUUUGUUAUAUAUAUGCCUGUAUACAUACAUACGUUUUAUAAUAUAUACAUAUACGUACACAUUUUUUAAUUUUUUAUAAAUAUAUAUACACAUACUUUUAUAUAUUUUCUAUGUUUCAUAAUUUUAUAUACAUACUUAUAUUUUUUUACAUAUUAAAAUAUGUAUAUUUAUAUAUAUUUAUUUUUUUAUAAUUCACAACCAUAUAUAUUUUUCUUAAAUGUACAUAUAUAUAUAUAUAUUUAUAUUUUAUAAUUUUUAUCUAUUUUCUUUAUUAUUAUUAUUGCUUUACUUGAUGUUUAUUUAUUUCUUUAUUCACAUGACCAUUAUUAUAUUCUUUAAAUGUUUCGGUUUUAUUUGUUUAUUUACUUGAUAUUGUGUAUACAUGAUUGAUUUGUUUUUUUAUUUAUCUUUUCAUUAUUAUUAUUAUUAUUAUUAUUGUUCUUGAUCAUGCUAUUUAUAUUUAUAUUAUUACAAUUGUUAGUACUCCAUUAUAUAAUUGUACCCAAAUUUGUAUAAAGAGAAAAUUUUGAAAAAUAAAGGCAAUACUCGAUAUUUGGAAUCUUCGAGAAGAUUGAGCCCUAACGUAUUGGGUUCCAAAUCUUUCGUUGAAUCUGAAUAAUCGAGAAUGCUCUUUAAUCAAAACAUAAAUAAAAAGCUCAUUAUCGAGAAUUCAAUACGUUGUGUCCUAACGCAUUGGAUAUGACAUGUUGUUUUCUCGAGAUGAGGAUUUUUUUUUCUAAAAAUAAUAAAGGUAAUAUUCAAUGUUUAGAAUUUUGAGAAAUUGUGCCCUAACGUAUUGGGCUGCGAUUUCUUCAUCUGACUUAAACAAUUGAAUAUCCUUUUAAAUUUUAUUGCACGAGUUUUUUUUGGACAAGCUUGUUUUUGAGGAAGUGAAAUAUCAUGCCCUAACUCAUUGGGUGUGACAUUUUCUCUUUUCGAAAUGAGAGGGUUUUAUCGAGUAACUUGUUUUAUAUAAGUUAAAAAAAAAACAAAAGAUCGUAUUUUAAAUCUCUUCAAAGUUUUCAAUUUUCGACAUUAAGACAUUAAUUAAUUAACUAGGUACCAAUUUUUGGGCGUUACGAGGGUGCUAAUCCUUCCUCGUACGUAACCGACUCCCGAACCCGUUUUUCUGAAUUUCGUAGACCAAAAUCGUUGUUUUAAUAAAGUCAAAUUGCUUAUUAAAAAUAACCACUUUUUGAGGUGACCCGAUCACACUUAAAUAAAAAGGAUUAGUGGCGACUCCCAUUUUCUUUUUUUUUCUUUUCAAAAUCCAAGCCAACCCCAUUUUUCAAAAUAAAAAAUGGUUUCGACAUUUAUAAUUUUUAAAGGAUUAAAUCAAAAUUUUAUCAUUUUUGGUUGACCAAAGUACAAUUUUACCAUUAGUAAUUUAAAAUUUUAUAAAUUGUAAAGAGCUUAAAUAGAAAAUUGUCCACUUUGGGGGGCUAUUGGGGGUGUCAUCCCUAUAUAAACAUAGGGAUGAAGUCAGAAGUUUAUUUUUGGGUCAAAAUUCAAUUAUAAAAUUUUAAAAGGAUGAAAGUAUAAUUUUAUUUUUGUAUAUACUUAUUAAUUUAGAAUUUCAAAAGGACUAAGGUGGGACAUUUUUAUCUCUAGAGGGUCAAAAUGUAUUUUAUCAUUAACUUAUAAUUUUAAAAGAGCUUCAAGAAAAUCUAAAAUAAUAAUAAUUUUCCGUGCGGCCCGUCCCUGUAUAGACAGGGUGUAUAUAUAUACCGACGAUUUCAAACGUUUUUCACGUUUUGUCACCUUUCCAAGAAUGAUCCACGUGAAAAUUUGUUGCAUGAAAUCAUGUGAAUCCGUCUGCAACCAUAAAAUUUUACGAUUAUUUGCACUAAAAAAACCAAAUAAAAAUUGUGGAUAAAACACCACGUUAUCCAGAAUACUGAUUUGUUCAACGUUUUCUUUUUCCUUCCUUUUGCACAUGAAUAAUGACAAAGGAUCCAACCCCAUCGAUUUUCGCUACAAAUUCCAUGCUUUCUUAGUUUAAUCAUCAUCACACAAUCAAGUCAAGCUAUUUAGCUAUGGCUUCCACUGCCAAUUUCCCAUCAACUUUCAUCACUCUUCCCAAUUUCUCCAAAACAUGUCGAGGUUCCAUAUUUAGGAAGAAAAAGCUUUUCAACUUUGUUUCCAAGAAAGUAGUGUCGUGCAAAGCCAACAAUGCAGACUCCUCUCUCAAUAGGUUCGAUAGGAGGGAUAUCCUUCUAGGCCUUGGAGGAAGUUUUUAUGGUGCAACCAACCUUCUUGGUGGUGACCCAUUUGCAUUGGCAGCCCCAAUAGCCGCCCCUGACCUGUCUCAAUGUGCGGAAGCAACGGUUCAAAAGACGGGUCUUCCCACCAUGGGUGUCGCCUGCUGCCCACCAGUAUCAACAACUAUCAUAGAUUUCAAACCACCUUCCGUUCGUAAAAUACGGUAUAGGCCUGCAGCACAUUUAGUUUUUUCGAAUCGAGUUGAGUGAGAUGGAAUUCGAAUCGAAUCGAAUCGAAUCGAAUAUAUUUGUUCGAGUUAAAUUUUAAAAAAUAAUUUUGGGUCCUUGUAACCACUGUCACCCAUCCUAAUAAAAUUUGUCCACCUUAAUCAAAUUUUUUAUUAACUUUCAUCACCUCAUAAUUUAUUUAUUAAUUUUUUAUAUAUUAGUUAGCUUCUCUGCUUGCUUAGUUGUUUCAAUUAUCUUCAAAUUCUUGUCACGAUGUAUUUUGGAAUUAAAAAAAUAUAUUGAAUGUAAAAAUAUAAUUUUUUUUAAUAAAAGUUAUUUUAAAAAUAAAAUUUGAAAUUGAUACCAAUAUAAAAUUUUAAUACGAAUAUUUUAUGGCAUAAUUAAUAAUUCAAUUUUAAUAUAAAUAUUCAAUAUGACUAAACAAUUCAAUAAUAUAAAUAAUAUAAAAUGUGAAAUUUAAUUAUUAAUAUAAAUAGUAGAUAUAAAUAAAAAUUAUUACUAUUUAUGUUUAGUGAUUUUUUUUUGGAUAAUUUGAUUUUUUUAUUUGAGAGUAAAGGGUGAGAAGUAAAAGUGUAGGGGAAAAUAAAAGUUUGGGGAAUAAAAGUUUGAGGGAAAGUAAAUAGGGGGAGUAAAAUUUAGGAGGGAAAUAUUAAAAAAAAUUGGAGAGGGAGGGUUUGGGGUAGAUGGGAGGUGGGAUGGGAAGGGAAUAAAGUUUUAGGGAACCCGUGCGAGGUUGAGGUAACAAUUUUGGGGAAAAUACAAGGUUUGAGGGUUUUGGGGAGUACAAUUUGAGACCAUUAAUGGGCGCGUAAACCUUUUGGUGGGACACGGCUUUUGGGUCGCUUGCGAGGGUUGGGCGGGCGGCGCGUCCAGUUUUGGGGGGCACGUGGGAAGGCGUCACAGUUUUGCGGCCACGUCCCCACACGUUUGGGCGUUUGGGGUACACUGUACCCUUUCUCAUUUGAUCUUCGCCUUUUUGCGUUAUUCGAAUUCCACCCACUCAACUCGUUCGACACUCGAAUUUGCACACACCCCUUCGGUUGACUUUGAAUACUCGAUUAACUCGCCUACUCGAUUCGUUUAACUCGCAAUUCGACUUCUUUUGCUUUUUUCGAGUCGAAUCGAGUUUGUCUCACCCUACCUGGGACAAAGCUUCUAGAAAAAGGAUUAAAAUGUGAAGUACAGAUGAGGAGUGCAUGCUCGCUUAAAAUAAGAAGGGUGAAUUAAUUGUCCAAGUUGAUAUGACGCCGAACCGUUUGUUUACUCAUUGACAUUGAAUCUGGAGAGUGAAAUGUAUGAAGAACGCAAUUAAAAAAGGUAUCAUGGUUAAUGGCAUUUAAGGUUCGGGAAUCUUGGAUUUUCUGGUCCGAAGCUAUUGUUAAAAGAAAAUAUGGUUAACGGGCUGCAGAACUUAAUCCUCCUGAUCAACUGUGUGAAGCCUGCAUUAAAGGAAAACAACACAGACAGAGUUUUGAAGUCGAAAAAAUUCGACGAGCUAGGAGACUAUUGGAGAUCGUGCACUCUGACAUAGCAGGCCCUUUUAAUAUACCAUCACUUGGUGGAAACAGGUACUAUGUUACUUUUAUUGAUGAUUUUAGCGGAAAAAGUUGGAUAUAUCUUCUUAAAACAAAAUCAAAAGCAUUUGACAAGUUUAUCAAGUUCAAAGCCCUGGUAGAAAAACAAAGUGGACAUUUCAUUAAGAUACUCAGAACUGAUAGAGGUGAUUAGUAUACUUCAAAGCUAAUUGAAAGCUUCUGCAAGGAGCACGAAAUUAUUCACCAGUUGACAACUACGUACACGCCACAACAAAAUGGAGUCACUGAAAGAAAGAACUGCAUUAUUCUUGAUAUGGCAAGAAGCAUGGUUAAAUGUAAGCAUUUACCAAGAACUUUCUAGGCUGAUGCUGUUCAAUGUGCUGUUUAUUUGUUGAAACAGCGUCCAACAAAAAGUGCGAAAUACAAGACGCCAAACGAAGCUUGGAGCAAUCAGAAGCCAAGAAUCGAACAUUUUAAGAUUUUUGGAUGCAUCGUAUAUGCUUAUGUUACUGACCAGAUGAGAAAGAAGGUUGACACUAAAUGAGUAAAAUGUAUUUUCAUUGGUUAUGAAAAGAGAAGCGAGACAAAUAGGUUAUACAACACUCUCACUAAGAAAGUUAUUAUUUCAAGAGAUGUUGAAUUCGAUGAAGCUGAUUACUAGAGAUGGAGCGAAAAAGAGAGGAAAAUUGAAAGAUUAAUUUUCAGUGAUCACAAAGACGGCGACUUUAUUAAUCAAGAACAAGGAAACGAUCAAAGCCCUCCUCCAAGUCCUGUUGCAACAACUCUUACAACAUCAUCAUCACCAACCAGCAGCAGUACCAGCAACUUAGAGGAAGCACCUGCAAGAAUGCAUAGUUUACGCGAUAUUUAUGAUGUUACAGAACCCAUAGAAACAACACUCGAUUAUUCAUUAUUCUAUAUAAUGACAGAAUAUGAUCCAAUAACAUAUAAAGAUGCAAUUGAAGAUGUUAGAUGGAAAAAGGCAAUGGAUGAAGAAAUUACAGCGAUAAGAAGAAAUGACAUAUGGGAGCUAACAAGUCUACUAGAAGGACAUAGUCCAAUUGGAAUCAAAUGGGUGUACAAGACGAAGACCAACAAAGAAGGAAAAAUGGAGAAAUACAAAGCAAGACUAGUUGCAAAAGGCUACAAGCAAAGAUACGGUGUGGAAUAUGAUGAAGUAAUUACUUCGGUCGCCAGAAUUGAUACUAUAAGACUUCUCAUGGCAAUUGCAGCAUAAAAUAAAUGGAAAAUUUAAUCAGAUGAACGUGAAGUCAGCAUUCCUUAAUGACUACCUGGAAGAAGAAGUCUACAUUGAACAACCACCUGGAUAUAGCAAACAAGGACAAGAAGACAAAGUUUAUCACUUGAAGAAAUCUUUAUAUAGACUGAAGCAAGCCCUGAGAGCAUAGAACACAAGAAUAGAUGAAUACUUUUAGAAGAACGGGUUCAUGAAAAGCCCAUACGAGCAUGCUCUAUAUACGAAGAAAAAUAAAGUUGGUGACAUCAUGAUCGUGUGCUUAUAUGUGGAUGAUAUGAUUUUCAUAGGAAACAAUCCAGGUAUAUUCAAUGACUUUAAGAAAGUUAUGACUAAAGAUUUUGAAGUGACAGGUGAAAUGUCAUACUUUCUUGGAGUCGAAGUGAACCAAAUGAAAGAUGGAACAUUUGUGUCUCAAAAAAAGUAUGCGGAACAUAUUUUAAGAAAAUUCAGAAUGAAAGAUUGCAAGCCAGUAGCCACGCCCGUAGAACCAGGCAUGAAAUUAAGUGUUGGUUCAUCCAGAGAGUCAGUAAAUCCAACAUUGUUUAAAAGUAUCAUUGGAAGUUUAAGGUACUUGACUAUCACACGGCCAUACAUCAUGUACGUAGUGGGAAUAGUUAGCAAAUACAUGGAGAAGCCAAAACAAGAUCACCUGAUUGCAGCAAAGAAAAUUUUGAGACACAUCACAGGUAUGAUGGAUCAUGGUUUAUUUUAUACACACUCACAAAGUUCAAAAUUGGUUGGUUAUUUAGAUAGUGAUUAUGGUGGUGACUUGGAUGAUCGCAAAAACACAUCCAGAUAUUUAUUCCAUAUUGGCUCCGCGGCAUUUUCAUGGUCAUCGAAAAAGUAACAAACAGUAGCCAUCUCAACAUGUGAGGCAAAAUUCAUGGAUGUUGCAACAUGCACGUCUCAAGCAAUUUGGUUAAAGAAUAUUUUAGGUGAAUUAACUAUUAUACAAGAAGGUCUAAUUACAAUUUAUGUUGACAACAAGUCCAUAAUAUCUCUUGUAAAGAAUUCAGUGUGUCAUAGUCGAAGCAAGCAUAUCGAUACAAAGUAUCAUUUUAUUCGAGAGCAAGUGAAAAAUAAAAAUGUAGAGUUAGCUUACUCCAAAUUAGAAGAUUAAUUGGCGAAUAUUUUUACGAAACCAUUGAAAGCGGACAUAUUCUAUAAACUCAAAGAAAAGCUUGGAAUGAAAAGUUCAAGGGGAAGUGUUAAAAAACAAACCGACUUUCAAAGUCGGCAUAAAAAUUGCAGCCAAAGAAUUUCUAUCCAAAAUGGCUUGAAAUUGAAUUGCAAAAGUGGCUGCCACUUUGUAAAUUGGCCAGCACAAAUGAUAAAGGAUAAUGAUGACAGCAGCUUGAAUAGUCUUAGACGGCAAGGCUUGAUAAAGUUUAAGUCGGUUUACUAUGCUUAUAAAUAUGUAAGUAGAGUCUUAUGAAAUUAAAAUUAAAUGAGUGUGUGUGAAAACGUUAGUGAGCUUGAGAGGAAAAAAAAGAAAGAAAGGUGUUGUGAUUUGUAUAAAAAGGAAAAACUAGCAGCAGCUAGUAUAGAGAGAAAAAAGAGUUUAUAUUUGUAUUGUGUUUAUUUGUGUGUAAUAAAAAAUUAGUAUUUGAGUUAUGUUUAUUACCGUUCCAACAUAUUAUAUGUUCUAGUGUUGAUGGCAUUGGCAACUGAUGUUGUGUCCAAGAAGCUUGACGUCGUGCUCAUGACAUUGGCUGCUGUUUGUAGGCUCUAAUAUAAUGUUUCAAUGGAAAUGCCCCUAGUCCUGUAAUCAACAGAUGGUGCUAUACCCCUUAGAGUACUAUGGGGUCCAAUUUGUUCUUUACUUUUAUCAAUCAGACCACCACUGUGGCAGGAAUCAGAAACGAUUGUGAAGCUUAAUUAAUCUACUUGGUACUUGCUGAAUCAAGUGCCCCAAGUCGACGUCUGCGCAACCAUCGCAACCACCAUAUGAUAUGAAAAAUAGUUCGCUUCGAUUGAGGGUGUUUCAAUACUUUGAUAUAUUUGACCUCUAAUAAGAAAUCAACAUAUGGAGUGGGUGAUUAAUCCGAAUUGGGAGAAGGACAGGUGUUGUGAUGGACAAAGAGGAAGACAAGGUGGUUUCCAACAGAAGCAAGAAAGCUCUAGCAAAAGGCAGCUAGGUAUUCCUUUUCAGACGAAGAAGAUAAAAAUAUAGAACAUAUAGGGUGGUGGUCGAAGAUAAAUGAUUAUAACAACACUGAUAUGAUCUGCUUCGCCUUCGUCCAUCACCUCAUCUUUAUGUUUUUAUCUUGGUCGUGACUCACGUUGGCCUUCGUCUGCAAGUGCUGUCGGUCCUACAAUCGUGAUUCUGUUGCCUAGCCUUUGAUUUCUAUAGUUUUUAGAGGUGUUGAAUUAAAAUUUUAUUAUUUUUUGGAAAAAUUGUAAUUUUAUAAUGUUUAAUUUAUAAUUUCGUAGACUUUGAUCAAAAUAACAAUUUUUUAUUUUAUGGGGUAUAAAGAGUAAUUUUCAUUUUAAGGGGUCAUGACUAUAUCUGAUUAUGGACGACUACUUGAACAUUUGCCUAAAAAGUGAAAGGAUUUAGAUAAAAAUAUAGGCCUGAAAAAAAGACUUAGACAAAAAAUAAGACCCGUUUCUACACGAGUCGAGCCUUGAGUAAGAUUUUUCUGUUUGAGCUUAGCCUGACCCAGAUUUGCUUAAAAAGAAUUUAUUGGUGCUAUUUAAUGUUGUUUUGUUAUCAUUUUACUAUUAUUUUGGUGUUAUUAUCUGGAUAUUGUAUAACUUUGUUUUAUUAUUAAUUUUGCUACUAUUUUAGAGAUAUUUACUGGCUAAUUGCAACUACCUUAUGCUAUUUAAAUAUAAUAUUUUAAUUGGUUAGAAAAUAUUUAUUUUAAUAUUUUUAGUGUAUUUAUAUUUUUAAAUAAAAAAUAAUAUAAAAAAUUUAAUACGGGCGAGCCAGGUCGAGCUCAAGUUUAGCAAUUUUACCUAAGCUAGGCUUGGACAAAAUUUUAGAUUCAUUUUUCAAGUCAACUUGGUCCAUGAUCAGGUCUAGCCAUGAGCCCUACCUGCUCUAGUCAUUGCCUCUAGCAACGAGAUUAAUUCCAAUGAGAUUGAAAAUAGUGAUAGUGAUGAGAUUAAAAUCAAUAAUGAGAUGUGUUAACAAAUAUAUUUCUUUAUACACCUAAAUAAUGUAAACAAAAUAUUAAAUACUAUUUGCAAGUAACGAAAUAAAACAAAUAUUAUAAAUAAAAACAUUAAAUUAAAUUUGUUAACAGUUCUCCCAAGGUAAACAUUUUCAAUCACUCUAUGAAUGCCUCGAGCUUCUGGAACCUGCAUUCCAAACCUCCUCACCUAAUGAAUCCACUAUAAACACCUUGUUGAUUGGCUCAUAGUGAUGGAUAGGAGUGAGUAAAACUCGAUUGAUUUAGAAAAAUUAAAUUUCGAGUUAAUUGAAUUUAGUUAUUCGAGUUAUUUAAUUUGUUUUUAGUAAACUAGGAUAAGUAAUUCUAGUUUUGGAUUGAAGUCGGGUUAAAUUUUACAAUUUGAAUAACUCAAAUAGUAGAGUGGUGUAAAUACACUUUUGGCCCCUGUCAAUUUUGAAAAUGAGCAAAUUGAUCUCUCUCUCAACAAAAAUUACAAAAAAAUUCCAAAUGUUUAUAAAAAUUAAAAAAAAUCUAAAGAAUAUAUAAAAAAUUAAAAAAGAUUCUUAAAUAAUCAUUUUUGAGACCUAAAUAAGUAAAUUAAUUAUUCAAGUUUUUCAUACUGAAGUAUCUUUAUUUUCUCUUAUUUUUCUUUGAAUGAAUUUUCAAAAAUAUCUAAUUUUAAAUUUAUGUAAUGUAAUAUAGAAUUUAUUAUAUUGUAAAAAAAAUAAUUUUUUCACUCUAUUGGAACAAAUACACAUCCUUACUGGUUGAAAUUUAUCCGCAUAUAUCUUUUGUCUCUAACCGAAAAGGAUCUCUUCCAAAUUAAAGAUCUUGAAUUGGAGCGUGUCAUAUUUACCACAGACCGCUCCUAAUGCAUUCGGACACCCUGAGUUUCACAAUCUGGAACCUCCCUUAACCUUACUUAUAAAAUUAAAAAAAACUCUAAAUAAGACAAUAAAAACUUUUAUUUAUUUAUACACUAGAAUUUCACACAUAACAAACGCAGAGAUGCAUAAGAAAACAGCUGUAGGUAGAUAUAAGUCAACAGGCUGUCAAACUUAUUCUAGUAGUAGUGCAAAACAUAAGCACGUUAUUAUUGACGACACUGACAGCCUGAGCACCAGCAUUUUGAUCAGAAAUUUAAGCAAAGCCACCCAAGAAAAGUGUGUUUGUAUUCUCAUCACUGCAAUAAAGGCAAGGGUUCUGCUCGAAUCCAUUGUUCUUCAAAAUCUUGGCAGCCUCAACCACAAGGUUUCUGUUGCUUAUUCCAGCACCCCAGUGCUGAUUGAUUACGUUAACCACAGCAUCGGUGAACGCCCCAAAGGCUUUAUUCUCCAAGACCAGGUCAUAUGAUGUCUCAUUGGCUUCACACCCACUUAAUAAAAUCCCUUCAUCCUCCUCCAGUGGAUCCAACACCAUUAACCCAUCUACGUAGUGAGGAUGGAAUUUGAGACUCACAUCUUUCCCGAAGAUUCCGAAAAUCUUUUGGCCAACAUUUGCUGCGUCGUGUAGGAUGCCUGCUGCUGUAUCUAUCGCACUAUGUAUGAUAUCAAAAGUAAGACUCUUAGCCUUAGCCUUAGACGGUUUAGGCUUGUCGGUAUUUACUGUUGUCGUCAUAUGCUGACCACCAAAUUGUUCUUUCUCUUUUUCAAUGAGACCCCCACUGUGGCACGAAUCUGAUAGGAUUGUGAAGCUUGCUCCUUCUGGUAGCCGGUUAACUAAACGUCUGAAGUCCACAUCUGCAGAAACCAUGUAUAUAUAGGGUAUGAAUAUAUGUUGCUAAAAUAAAUAUAUAAAUUCAAACAAAAACCUACCGGUGACAAGAUUUAAAUCACAAGCCACGAUUGCUUCAUCUUGCUUGAAAGGCUGGCCAGGUUGAAAGAUUGGAAUGCGCGUUCCAUGUCCACUGAAGUAGAAAAAUAGGAUAUCUCCUGCUUUAGCCUUGUUCACCAUUCUAUUAAGUGCAUCCUUAAUGUUUGCACCCGUAGGCAGAACCGGCGACCCUGGCGCAUCGGUGAGGACAUUAACAUCGCUUUCCUUAAACCCAAUGUUCAGGAGGACACCACUUAUGGCGUUCACAUCAUUGAUGCAUCCAUGCAAGCUGAAUUGGGUCUUGGGGUAGUUGCAUCCCACCAGAACUGCUCUCUUCGUACCCUUACUCAUCUUGCUUCGCUAAUUUGACUAUUUUGUGUUGCUUGUACCGUUGAAUUAAUGUGCUUCCACUGUCUCACAAAGAACCUAUAUAUAUACACACUAAUUUACAGCACGUGUACUGACCAUAAAGAUGACGACAUGUAGGUAGGUAGGUAGGUAGGCAGGUACAACACUUUUGUUUGUCUUUUGUAUUUUGGAAAAUGCAUGCGAAAUCCAUGCAUAUGCAAACAUUUUGUGCAAGGAACUUGCAUAUCAGUACUGCACAAAAGAGUGACUCUGGAGUUAUGGAAUUAUUUGAUAAUAUUGAAUAUGAAAUAAAUUAAAAUAAAAGAGUGGGUGAUUAAUCCGAAUUGGGAGGAGGACAGGUGUUGUGAUGGAC